UUAAGCCCAAGUUCUGUAUUUAGAGCUAUGAUUGGACAUGUUUCUGAGCGAAAAGCUCAUGAAACUAGAAGUAUUACAAUAUAACCAAAAGUGUUUGUAAGAAGUAAUUUCUUCUCAAAUGUAUUGCUAUCCCAAAACACUGUCAAUAUAUGUUACAUUACCAUAAGUCAAAGCCUUGUAUUCAAAUGUUCGAAUACUCACUUAUCCUGCGGGCGAAGAAAUAGGUUUUUGCCUCAAUUAGAGCAAAUAUUUGUCCUAAGAAUAUCAACUAGCCACACUAUUAUAUCGGGGUUUUCUUGUUUACGGAUAGCAGAGGAGCAGUAUUCCUUUAUCAGAAGUGGUGAAGCCUUUUCAAAAAGUUUUGAUUAUAUCUGCCGUUCAUGGAUAUAGUUCAAUUGGAGCAUUUGGAUGUAUGCUUGCUUAAACUAGUAGACAUUCUGAAUAUGAGCUUGUCUUUUUCAGGGUUUGAAGUCAUUAUACGAUCAGCAAUGCCUCACAGAAGUCGGCCUAUGAGAGCACUUCUACUGUUUACCGGACUUAUAACCUGUUUGGCCAAACUUCUUUUUGGCCGAAAGUAAUUUUUUUUUUUGCCAAAAAAAUUGAGGCGUUUAGCCAAGCUUUUGGAAGGAAAAAAAAUGCUUUUGAGGAGAAGCAGAAGCAGAAAAAAGUAGUUUCUCUCCAAAAACACUUUUUUGAGAAGCAUUUUUGAGAAAAAUACACUUAGAAACAGUUUUUUAAAGCUUGGCCAAACACUAAUUGCUGCUCAGUGUUUUUCAUACUAAUUAGCCAAACACAAACUACUGCUUCUCACCAAAAGUACUUUUAAGAAAAACACUUUUGAAAAAAAGCACUUCUCAAAAUAAGCUGAUUUUUGCAGCUUGGCCAAACAGGCUAUUAACGUUGUUUUGGUCUCAACAAUAACUCCUGUCUAUGAUUUUGUAUGCUUCCAUCCUUAUUGGGAAAGAAGAGUAAGGCACCUCUUUUCCUUGUAUCCGUAUAAACUUGAAAAAUUAUUCUUUCUUUCAGCACUCAAUGGCUUAUUUACAUCUUUUAUACUUCAUUCUUGACUGUGCAUCUUCCUGCCAUGAUAUUUUACCUGAUGAGAAAUACAUUAUAAAACACAUAAAACUUGUAGUGGUUAUGCUUGUUUAAAUGAAACUUACAGUUAUCACCAGCAUUGGCCAUAUUGUUGUGGCUUAAUUUAACGGGUUAUAUAGUUAUUGGUUACUCAGAGAUCUUGCUGUGUUUAGGCCAUCACUAUUCAGUAGGGGUGUUUCUAUUUCCUGUUAAAAGUGGACUUGAAGUGGAAUUGAAUUUUUCUCAACUUUUCCGUAACCAAUUGUACGUUCAGUAUAGUCUUUUUCUCCCUCUUGUUUUGUGACACUGCAUGGUAACUGGUAACUUACUUCCGUCAUCUAUGACAGAGAGAAUGUCAGCAUCAGGAACAUGAAGCAGCGUUGAGAGGUUAAGCAUCUGUAUUAUCGAGGUUGGGGAUUAUGUUUAGCCGGUCUUUAGUUUAAAUUGGUCACAAGACAAAACGAACUUAUAGAGGAUGUUGGAGACCUAAUUUGCUUCUGGUUUUAUUGUGUACCCUUGAGUUUCCUUGGUAUUUAUUUAGAGUAAAAUCAAGCUGUGUACAAGUAUUAAGAAUUGCAAUCGGAAGGAAAGAAAUACAAAGAUGAUAUUAGCUGACCUUUUCUUUUCAAAGAGACUUGUGUUAGAGAUUGUUUGAGGAACCUCUGUUACUCCCUCUCCGUUGGUGAUUCUUUGGCUGUCAAACCCUGGAUUUGGGUGUAAUAAGAGUAGCUGAAGAAGCCUGCAUUGCUUGUUGCGGUACCACCAUAUCUAGAGAAUGACGCUAAAACUUUUCAACAUCAAUCUAUAAAGAGUAGUGUUCUUGUGCUUUAUGUGAUAAUGCAGCACCAUUGCUCACUUCUUGUCACUUAUUUAAGUGGUCACACAAGAGAUUGGAGGAUUUUGUUUCUUUUAGUAUAGC
rnacentral:lncRNA from 1 species